GAUGAAGAACGCAGCGAAAUGCGAUAAGUAGUGUGAAUUGCAGAAUUCAGUGAAUCAUCGAAUCUUUGAACGCACAUUGCGCCCCUUGGUAUUCCAUGGGGCAUGCCUGUUCGAGCGUCAUUUGUACCUUCAAGCUUUGCUUGGUGUUGGGUGUUUGUCCUGAGGGACUCGCCUUAAAGUAAUUGGCAGCCAGUGUUUGGUUUUGAAGCGCAGCACAAGUCGCGAUUCAAAGCUAUACGCCCGCUUCCACAAGCCUUUUUCACUUUUGACCUCGGAUCAGGUAGGGAUACCCGCUGAACUUAAGCAUAUCAAAAGCGGAGGA
rnacentral:misc_RNA from 1 species